AUGUGUAGCAAAGUGGAGAAGGACCUGGUAGGAAAAAACAUAGUAUAUAAAAGGUUUGGCCGUCGAUCAGCGAGGGAGCAGCAAACGGCCGGCGGCUGCAGCCUCGCAGCGGCGGAGGCGUCGCCGCAUCUUGGACGGUUCUUCUGCCACUGCUGCUCCUUGAACAUCGUCCUGCGCCUGUCAGAUUAUAUCUGCCCAAGAUGCACGUCUGAUUUUAUCGAGGAGCUUCCUGAAGAGACCAGGGGCACAGAAAACGAUUCUACUCCUGCCACCGCCCCCACAGACCAGAGCCGACCGCCGCUGGAGAACUUUGACCAGCACCUGUCCACGCUGCCGCAGGGCUACGGACAGUUUGCUUUCGGCAUCUUUGACGACAGCUUCGAGAUCCCCACGUUCCCUCCUGGGGCGCAGGCUGACGGCAGCAAGGACCCUGAGAGACCGUGGGAGAGAGUCCUGGCCCCGUACCCAGCCGGGCAUCCCCGUCUCCGCCUCCCCACGCGGCGGGCCACUGCCCGGCACAAAGGCCUCCCCGCGCUAGAAGGGAUCAUCCAGCAGCUCGUCAACGGUAUCGUCACGUCCGCCACCAUCCCCAGCCUGGAUCCUUGGGGAGUCCUGCACUCAAACCCUACGGAAAACGCCUGAGGGGCCAACGGCCUGGACGCCAUCGCACAGCUCCUCGGCUUGAAAACACGGGCCCCCCACCGGCAGAUGAAGAGAAAAUCCAGUCCCUCCCCACUGUCCCCGUCACUGAGCAGCACGUAGGCUCCCGGCUCGAGUGCCCCGUGUGCAAGGACGACGACCCGCUGGGCGAGCAGCUGCCCUGCAAACACCUGUUCCACGAUGGCUGCAUCGUGCACGGGCUGGAGCAGUACGACAGCUGCCCCGCCUGCCGAAAAAGCCUCCCGGGACAGAACACGGCCACGAACCCACCCCCUCGGGCCUGACUGGGAUGAACUUCUCCUCCUCGUUGUCCUCCUCCUCCUCCAGCUCGCCCUGCAACGAGAACGCCACAAGUAACUCCCGAGCCCGCGACGGCCGGAACCCACCCGCGCCCGCUGCGCCUGAGACUGCGGGGAGACCGCGGGGCCUUUCCCACCCACCUCAGCCAGCGCCACACGGCGCCCACAGACUGGGUGCCCCAGCGGCGCCACUCUUGACUGGUCAGCGUUACAGGCCCCGCCUGUUCCAGGGCAGGAUCCUGGCCUGGCCCACCGGCUCCCUGGCUCGGGAAGACGUGGGCCACAUCGUCCCUUCUGGGGCAUCCUCAUCCUCCCUGUCCUCCGUCUAACCUCACCCUCUAAACGUUCAGCGGUGGAAAGAUUUUUAUAAUUUUAAAUUAUUAUUGCUUUGAAAUAAAUGGAAGUUUUAGCUCA